rnacentral:rRNA from 1 species
UGCAAGUCGAACGGCAGCACGGGAGCAAUCCUGGUGGCGAGUGGCGAACGGGUGAGUAAUAUAUCGGAACGUGCCCAGUCGUGGGGGGAUAACGUAGCGAAAGCUACGCUAAUACCGCAUACGAUCUAUGGAUGAAAGCGGGGGAUCGCAAGACCUCGCGCGAUUGGAGCGGCCGAUAUCAGAUUAGGUAGUUGGUGAGGUAAAGGCUCACCAAGCCGACGAUCUGUAGCUGGUCUGAGAGGACGACCAGCCACACUGGGACUGAGACACGGCCCAGACUCCUACGGGAGGCAGCAGUGGGGAAUUUUGGACAAUGGGCGCAAGCCUGAUCCAGCAAUGCCGCGUGCAGGAUGAAGGCCUUCGGGUUGUAAACUGCUUUUGUACGGAACGAAACGGUGAGCUCUAAUACAGUUUGCUAAUGACGGUACCGUAAGAAUAAGCACCGGCUAACUACGUG